GCCCCGAUGGUGAAACGGAUAUCACAUCAGUCUUCGGAACUGACGGUCCAGGUUCGAUUCCUGGACGGGGCA
rnacentral:tRNA from 1 species